rnacentral:rRNA from 1 species
AUUGAACGCUGGCGGCAGGCCUAACACAUGCAAGUCGAGCGGUAGAGAGAAGCUUGCUUCUCUUGAGAGCGGCGGACGGGUGAGUAAUGCCUAGGAAUCUGCCUGGUAGUGGGGGAUAACGUUCGGAAACGGACGCUAAUACCGCAUACGUCCUACGGGAGAAAGCAGGGGACCUUCGGGCCUUGCGCUAUCAGAUGAGCCUAGGUCGGAUUAGCUAGUUGGUGGGGUAAUGGCUCACCAAGGCGACGAUCCGUAACUGGUCUGAGAGGAUGAUCAGUCACACUGGAACUGAGACACGGUCCAGACUCCUACGGGAGGCAGCAGUGGGGAAUAUUGGACAAUGGGCGAAAGCCUGAUCCAGCCAUGCCGCGUGUGUGAAGAAGGUCUUCGGAUUGUAAAGCACUUUAAGUUGGGAGGAAGGGCGGUAAAUUAAUACUUUGCUGUUUUGACGUUACCGACAGAAUAAGCACCGGCUAACUCUGUG